rfam:Columba livia unplaced genomic scaffold scaffold172, whole genome shotgun sequence.
AUGUGAGGGUGAUCUGGCUGCAACAUCUGUCUCCCCAUUGAUCACCAGGGUUGAUUCAGCUGAUCUGGGUAGCUAGGCGGGUGUCUCCUCCCUCCCUCAGAGCU